GUCUACAGCCAUACCACCCUGAACGCGCCCGAUCUCGUCCGAUCUCGGAAGCUAAGCAGGGUCGGGCCUGGUUAGUAUUUGGAUGGAAGAAGUACUGAUUUUAAAAGGCA
ensembl:rRNA 5S_rRNA 5S ribosomal RNA